rnacentral:piRNA from 1 species
UGAAGAGCCACGCAGAAAGUGAAACAU